CAGCAGCCGCGGGAAUACGAAGGGGGCUAGCGUUGCUCGGAUUUACUGGGCGUAAAGGGCGCGUAGGCGGACAGUUAAGUUGGGGGUGAAAGCCCGGGGCUCAACCUCGGAAUUGCCUUCAAUACUGGCUGUCUUGAGUGUGAGAGAGGUGUGUGGAACUCCGAGUGUAGAGGUGAAAUUCGUAGAUAUUCGGAAGAACACCAGUGGCGAAGGCGACACACUGGCUCACUACUGACGCUGAGGCGCGAAAGCGUGGGGAGCAAACAAGAUUAGAUACCCGCGUAGUCCCUGUCUCUUAUAC
rnacentral:rRNA from 1 species